GCCAGGGUGGUGAAAUGGUAUACACGCUAGGUUUAGGACCUAGUGCCCUUAAAAAGCGUGCAGGUUCAACUCCUGUCCCUGGCA
rnacentral:tRNA from 1 species